UGAGCAAUCUGCCCUUCUCAUCGGAAUAAGCGUUGGAAACGACGUCUAAUGCCGAAUACGACCUCCUUUCGCAUGAUCGGAGGUGGAAAGCUCCGGCGGAGAAGGAUGAGCUCGCGGCCUAUCAGCUAGUUGGUGUGGGUAACGCCCACCAAGGCGACGACGGGUAGCCGGCCUGAGAGGGUGACCGGCCACACUGGGACUGAGACACGGCCCAGACUCCGUACGGGAGGNAGCG
rnacentral:rRNA from 1 species